rnacentral:rRNA from 1 species
GAUGAACGCUGGCGGCGUGCUUAACACAUGCAAGUCGAACGGAAAGGCCAGUGCCUGCACUGGUACUCGAGUGGCGAACGGGUGAGUAACACGUGGGUGAUCUGCCCUGCACUUCGGGAUAAGCCUGGGAAACUGGGUCUAAUACCGGAUAGGACAAUGGUUUGGAUGCCGUUGUGGAAAGUUUUUUCGGUGUGGGAUGAGCUCGCGGCCUAUCAGCUUGUUGGUGGGGUAAUGGCCUACCAAGGCGUCGACGGGUAGCCGGCCUGAGAGGGUGUACGGCCACAUUGGGACUGAGAUACGGCCCAGACUCCUACGGGAGGCAGCAGUGGGGAAUAUUGGACAAUGGGCGCAAGCCUGAUGCAGCGACGCCGCGUGGGGGAUGACGGCCUUCGGGUUGUAAACUCCUUUCGCUAGGGACGAAGCGUAUUUGUGACGGUACCUGGAGAAGAAGCACCGGCUAACUACGUG